ACACACGCGCGCGCACGCACGCAGACAUACACACACAUGUAUUAUUUCACAUUAUUUUACAUUUAUAUAUUCCGGGCCGAUUCCGAUCGGAGAAACGAAUCCCUCCUUCGUUACACUCGGAGAAACGGAUCAGGAAUUUCCGUUUUCCUUUUACUUAUCAACACGAUACAUACACAAACACACACACGCACGCACGCACGCACAUAUAUUCACUCUAUCACACAUCAUGUAAACACGUGUAUAUGCGCGUAUACAGUUUUUACCCCAGUUUAAAAUAUUCCAUCUGUCUACCUCAGUGAACCACGAUAAACGAUAAGUGAUAGGACAGACCAAGACGAAUCUCACGGACGACGAUGAUGAUGUUUCGGGGAGAGGAGAGAUCAGAAUCAGAGAGACGAAAAGAUGAUAUGAUAUCGCCAUGGCUAUUCUUCGCAUGAAUUUUUACUCAUUUAUGAAAAAUGAUUUGUGAAUACGAAAGAACGAUAUUAUAUCGCGAGCGACAGACAUCGUUCAACCGGUUCCAACCGGUGCUUUCACGGUCUCGUCGAAGCGAUGAAUUCGUUCGUUGAAAAAAAAAAAAAACGAGAGAUUGCCCUAGCGAAUCGACGAAACCUAGACGACGAGGAUGCUAGAGGAUCAAUUGUUCGAUUCUUUUUAUUUUCUAAAACGCUGUUUGAGAGAAAGAGGGAGAGAGAGAGAGAGAGAGAGAGAGAACAGAGAGAAAAGAGAAAACGGUGACCGUCGCGUAUAUGCACGCGACUCCCGAAAAGAUAUUAUUAUUAUUAUUAUAUUAUAUUAUAUUAUUAUUAUUAUAUAUAAAUGUUGAGGAAAAAUAUAUAUUGUCUAGAUUUAUAGAGAAGUUAGUAUACCACGACACGUACGUACGUACGUACACAAUACGAAUAA